CACUUCUUGAGCUUUUCAUAACUCUUUCCUAAAGAUAAUAAGAAACCGACAGUCCCAUUCCUCCCCUGUCAGUGGCUUUCCAUGUCUGAGGGAAGGCUCGUAGUGCUCUAUUUGCCUUUAGAAGAGGGACUGAGUUAUUUGCAGACAGAGAGCAUGUAUCAAGCUCUCCCAGAAAUCUGAACACUUUGUUUAUGAUUACAUGCAGGGUCAAGUAUAAUCUCCCACUGCUCAGUUAAAUGGCACCAGCUUAGCUGAAAGUGAAUACUGCUGUGCAAAGGUGUAAUAAAUUAUAAACCACCUGGGUUGCGGGGGGAGUGACAGCUGGUAAACUCUAAUUUAACACCUCUAAUACAGCUCCCUGACCACUUCCCGAGCUUCUGAAGAAAAAGGGGAUUUGUAGUGCCCAGGAAAGCCAAAGUUGUUGGUUCUUUUAUCUCUCUUAGCGCCGCAGGUCAUUCAGAAGGACUUCUGCAGGCAGCUUAGAUGAUAAAUAGUGACAGAUUCUGAGGAGAAAUGAUACUGGUAUUAGCAGUAAUUUCAUUUGUUGUGAGGUUGACAGACAUGAUGAAAAGGAACAUUCCUCCACAGCCGCCGCGACUCCAACCUUUGACCUUGGAGGCAGCCAUCUCAAGCAGCUCUGCUCUUUGCUGCCCUGCACACGUGGUGUCUGUGACAGGCAGAAGCCAAAAUCCCUUCCAACAACCCCUGUCAUAGCAAAACCCCACAGCACAAAAUUGAUUGGAUUACACAAAUCUGGGUGAUGUUUUGGUAAGCAAUGCCAAUGUGAACUGGAGCGGCACAGGGAUGCAGCUCAGCCCGUCCUUCUGGAGUGCCUGAGCCGACAUCAGGAUGUGUACAUAAAAGCUAACAAGGUGAAAACUUGAACCCCCGGAUUACUGCUGCUAUUCUAUGAACAACCUAACAUUACUCCUCGAUGUCUCCAGCUCUAAUAAUAGCUUUCUUAUAUACGUUGAGCUUCAGCUUAACGCUAAUGUCUUUGUAUUUUUACUCUGCAUAUGAUUUGCAGUUUCUUGGUUUUUUCCCCUUCUUAUAAAACCCUUUGUUUUCUCAGUUUAAAAGUCACAUUUAAUGUUAUUAUUAUUAUUAUUAUUUUGGUGACACUUUUUGCUGAUUGGGAUGGUAAUUCAAGUGCACACUUAGAGGAACACAACUGGGACCUGUUCUGAGUACGGGGGGGAUAAUAAACUGAAACCACAGAAGGUUUAUGUAUACUGAAGCAAACUUGUUGAAAGGUUACCAGUGGCAGCAGACGAUAUAAAUAGUACACUAAAAUAAACUAAGAAAAAGCUAGUCCAGUAUAAUGAAUCGAACUGGGACACCCAAGCAAAUAAGCAUUAGCGGAGCUGCAGCCACUGUCUUUCCACCACUGCUACCUGGGAGGAGGACCUCAGCAGAGGGUGAUUGCUACAGAUAAAUAACUGAAGAGAUGCAGGCCUCUCACUGGAAUCGAUAUUUAGAAGAAAUUGGCCAGUUUCACUGGCAAAGCGACGACAAAACCUGGGGACAAACACAGCAGCGCCCUCUCGGAUACCGACGGUAAUCACAGACACAAAGCUGGAAGCGAUGCGAGGACGGCUUGACUAACUCUGAGGCAGCAUCAAGCUGAACUCAGUGACUCCUGAUAUACUCAUUUAAUCCACUCUUAGCAACCUACCUUGCUGGGACUUCUCCAGCCUCCUUCUUUUUCUGCACAUCUCACACAUUGCAUUUGUUUGUAAUACCCAACUGCCUUCCUUCACAGCAGUGCAACCCAACCCCUUUCCUGAAGCUGUUGCCCCUCUGCAAACCAGUGACAUUGGUUGGGAAGGAUCGCUCACGUCCCGCUGCUCUGACUUUGCAUGGGGAUGGCCAGCUCAGUCCCUUCCAUUUCUGAUCGUCCAAUGAACUUUUUGUCAUCGUUUCACGUUGCCCUCAUCAAUAUUGCAUCCAGGUUAUGCCAGAUCCAGUUUGUCAGGAUUACUCUGGAUUCCCAUGCUGCCUCCAAAGUACUUGUAAAUCCUCUCCUCUUGGCACUAGCUGUAGAUUUAAUGGGUGCUUUUUUCACCCAAGUCAUCAAUGAAAGUAUCAAAUAGACUAAGGGCAGUUCCCAAGACGGGAACCAGGACCCACCUUUCCAUUUUUCCUCUGAACACUACUACCCAAUACAUGUCCUCCACCUUGCUGAUCUGCCUGUGCGCUGAAGAGACCACACUCUUUUCUGCUAGAAAUAAUAUUAAAACAACAACAAUAAUAAUACUGUUCUGUCUUACUUAGAGCUGCAAGAGUGAAAGUCUGGAUCAAACCACAGUGAGAUUUCUCAUUAUCAAUUCCUGUGGUUCUGGCAGAGAUAUUUUGUACCAUUGAUUGAAACAGACUUACACGUUCUGUUUUCUUUUCAGUAACAUUUGUUUCUAUUGGCUUAGCCAUUUCCAAAUAUCAAAUCCAAUACCACAGACAGCAGUUCACACCUACAGCAUUAGAAGAAUCAGAUAUCCUUGAAUUUCAUAGUGGUCUUUGCACUUCCCCUCCCUGUCACUGCGUAUAGUUUUUCAGUAUAUUUUUUACAUUAGAAAUACAUCUCUUAUUUGCAUGGAAGAGCAGACCGUAUAUUACAGUUCUUUCUGCUGUCCUUCCUGAAAUGCAUGUCUCUGGAAGUAUUUAAUUAAGCAAAGUUCAACUGCUCUCAAAUAAAGGAUAUAACCAGCAAAUACACCACCUGAACCCAAGGUUACGGGGAAGGAUUUUCAGAAGCUGCUGAAGUUGCUGUUUUGUCCCAGGACAUUUAAAUGCUGUUCGGUUCCGAUGACACGUCAAGGUCUCUAAGGAUUAGCGCGCACACAGCACUGCUUUGUAUUUUAAGCUCCUGUACAGAGCCAGACAAAUUGUAGCCGUAUGACAAAUGUAGCUUUAGUGCACCCACCUAUCUGCAAAUGCUUCCCAAGGAAACCUAGUUCUUUCUUUACUGAACUUGAAAGAACGUAUUUAAAAAUUAUAUUUUAAGCGUGCACUAAAAAUUGCCAGAAAUAGCUGUGGCACCAGAGCUCCAAAUCCCCCGAUGGAGCAAGGUCCCCAGGCAAGAUAGAUGCUCUUAACUGUGCUCCCAUGAUGAGGGGCUCUAAGAGUCCCCAUAACAUUGCUGUGUCAGCACUCGUGCCAUGACUGAGGGAGGAGAUGAGUAGAGCCUGGGGCUUGCUAGAGACUGAGGGUCAGGGAGUAAAAAAAGAAAAAAAAAAACACAACAAGAGAAAAGGUGGUAAUAUAAAGCCAUGGGGAUAGCAGGGAGGUUGGGACAGGCAUUAUAGCAAGGGCAAAGCCUGGUAUCAGGCUGAGCGGUCCCAGCAGAAGCGUCUGAGCUACGGGCAACAGCUCUGCCGCAGCUCAGUGCUCCUAGCCAGCCCUGCAAACAGAAGAAAUGACCUGGAAAGCUCAUCAUAAUGAAAGGGAAUAAAGGCAAAUGCAGCCUAAAAAUAAAAUAAGUAAUAAUAAUAAAAGUCAGAAACCUCUCGAAGGUUUUUUUUUUUUUUUUUUUUUUUUUUUUUUUUUUUUUU